UCUGCUCCCUGACGGCCCUCCCUUUCGGUACAUCCGCGUCAAUGACCCGACAUUCAGCGCCCACCUUGCUCUUUGUAGAAUCGGGCACUUUUUAAAAACCUGCAGUUGUUAUGACCAUUUACUGAUACCCACAGUCACGUAUCAACUGAUGACACAGGUUGGCUGUGCAGUGAAAGAGUUGAAAGGGAAAUGGAGUCUAGGGUCUCCUGCCCACAUUUAGCUCCACUACCAGAAGAAGGAAGAAUUCAUUUCUCUCUCUACCUUGUUGCCUUUUCCGGAAUGUCGUAUGAAUGGAAUCCAUUUGAGUUUGGCUUCUUCCAGCAUAAUGCCCAUGGGCUGCAUCUGAGUUGUUGGGUGCUUCAGUAGUUGGCUCCUUUUGAUGGCUGCAAAGUAUUCCGUGGUAAGGAUGUACCACAGUUUAUCUGUUCAUCAACCUUUGGAUUCCUUCCAAUUUGGGGCGAUUACAAAUAAA